GAGCUGGGGCUCAGUGGUAGAGCGCUUGCCUACCAUGUGUGAGGCACUGGGUUUGAUUCUCAGCAUCGCA
rnacentral:tRNA from 1 species